CACUCCUACGGGAGGCAGCAGUGGGGAAUAUUGGACAAUGGGCGCAAGCCUGAUCCAGCCAUGCCGCGUGAGUGAUGAAGGCACUAGGGUUGUAAAGCUCUUUCACCGGAGAAGAUAAUGACGGUAUCCGGAGAAGAAGCCCCGGCUAACUUCGUGCCAGCAGCCGCGGUAAUACGAAGGGGGCUAGCGUUGUUCGGAAUUACUGGGCGUAAAGCGCACGUAGGCGGAUCGAUCAGUCAGGGGUGAAAUCCCAGGGCUCAACCCUGGAACUGCCUUUGAUACUGUCGAUCUGGAGUAUGGAAGAGGUGAGUGGAAUUCCGAGUGUAGAGGUGAAAUUCGUAGAUAUUCGGAGGAACACCAGUGGCGAAGGCGGCUCACUGGUCCAUUACUGACGCUGAGGUGCGAAAGCGUGGGGAGCAAACAGGAUUAGAAACCCUAGUAGUCCCAUG
rnacentral:rRNA from 1 species